rnacentral:rRNA from 1 species
GAUGAACGCUGGCGGCGUGCCUAAUACAUGCAAGUCGAGCGAACGGACGAGAAGCUUGCUUCUCUGAUGUUAGCGGCGGACGGGUGAGUAACACGUGGAUAACCUACCUAUAAGACUGGGAUAACUUCGGGAAACCGGAGCUAAUACCGGAUAAUAUUUUGAACCGCAUGGUUCAAAAGUGAAAGACGGUCUUGCUGUCACUUAUAGAUGGAUCCGCGCUGCAUUAGCUAGUUGGUAAGGUAACGGCUUACCAAGGCAACGAUGCAUAGCCGACCUGAGAGGGUGAUCGGCCACACUGGAACUGAGGCACGGUCCAGACUCCUACGGGAGGCAGCAGUAGGGAAUCUUCCGCAAUGGGCGAAAGCCUGACGGAGCAACGCCGCGUGAGUGAUGAAGGUCUUCGGAUCGUAAAACUCUGUUAUUAGGGAAGAACUUAUGUGUAAGUAACUGUGCACAUCUUGACGGUACCUAAUCAGAAAGCCACGGCUAACUACGUG